GGAGGAAAAGAAACCAACAGGGAUUGCCUCAGUAACGGCGAGUGAAGCGGCAACAGCUCAAAUUUUAAAGCUGACGUCCUCGACGUCCGCGUUGUAAUUUGGAGAGGCAUCUUCGGUUUGGGCGCCAGUCUAUGUUCCUUGGAACAGGACGUCACAGAGGGUGAGAAUCCCGUGCUUGGCUGGCUGUCCCUCUCCAUGUGAAGUGUCUUCGACGAGUCGAGUUGUUUGGGAAUGCAGCUCAAAAUGGGUGGUAAAUUUCAUCUAAAGCUAAAUAUUGGCGGGAGACCGAUAGCGCACAAGUAGAGUGAUCGAAAGAUGAAAAGCACUUUGAAAAUAGAGUUAAAAAGUACGUGAAAUUGUUGAAAGGGAAGCGCUUGAGACCAGACUCGGCCGGAGACGAUCAGCCGGUCCUUUUGGGCCUGCACUCGUCCUCGGUUGGGCCAGCAUCGGUUGAGACGGCGGGACAAAGGUCCGGGGAAUGUGGUCCCUUUCGGGGAGUGUUAUAGCCCCGGGCGCAAUGCCGCC
rnacentral:rRNA from 1 species